AUUUUGUACAAUGGUCGCAAGCCUGAUCCAGCCAUGCCGCGGGAGUGAAGAAGGCCUUCGGGUGGUAAAGCUCUUUCUGACGUACAGAAACCGCGCAGGCUAAUACCCUGCGCGGAUGACGGUACCGUCAUAAGACGCACCGUCUACCUACGUGCCAGCACCCGCGGUAAUACGUAGGGUGCGAGCGUUAAUCGGAAUUACUGGGCGUAAAUCGUGCGCAGGCGGUUGAUUAAGACAGGCGUGAAAUCCCCGGGCUUAACCUGGGAACUGCGCUUGUGACUGGUCAGCUAGAGUACGGCAGAGGGGGGUGGAAUUCCACGUGUAGCAGUGAAAUGCGUAGAGAUGUGGAGGAACACCGAUGGCGAAGGCAGCCCCCUGGGCCGAUACUGACGCUCAUGCACGAAAGCGUGGGUAGCAAACAGG
rnacentral:rRNA from 1 species